rnacentral:lncRNA from 1 species
ACUGUGAAAUGAUGUUGUCCAUGGACGUCUUCCGUCGAUUCGGAGAUGGAUCGUCCAUGGAUGUCUUCCGUCGAUUCGGGGAGCGCUUGCGUCGCAAAUGUGGAAUGCCACCUGGGGUAUCAGAGACUGGACUAGUUUCCUGUUUAGUAGCUUUCAGUACAACCACAAGCUAAAUGGGCUCUGGCUGGAUGGAGUAAGAAAUAUGAACCCAGGUCCGAGGGAUUGUACUGAGGUAGUUGUGUAGGUGGGAGCGCGGGUCCCUCAGGUGGUCUGGAGGAAUAUGUUCUGAAAAUUCUUGAAGUCGAUGCCAUUGCUACUCCACCCGGUGGACAGCAAGGGAUUAACACGUCGAUUUCUUGUGGGGAAUGUGUACAACCUCUCGAGAGUGUCAAACUAAGUACUUAACCGUGUCCCUGGUUACGGACAUUUAUGAGCAACUAGAUAUUGGGGCUGUAAGGAAGGUCUCACUCAUUCCAACUUCUUAAAUAAAAUGAAUGGUUUGAACAGCUACUGUCUUAGUUGUUCAAAACUGAAUUUAAACAGUGCCAAAAUAUUCUACACGUUGUGACGAUUUCAGAAAGGUGCGGAACACAAUUUUUGGACAAACGGUUUGAAAGAUAUGAGGCUUUGAAGUUACAGGGGCUUUUCUGCAAAAAAUGCAUUGUCUACUACGGCCGAAAAUAAAAUAAAAUAAAAUAAAAAGGGCACUGCCACGUGGCAGAACAAGAGUGGUCGGAGCCUAGGGUUUCCGCCGGCCGGGCUAGCUCGCCGGACGGCGGCGGCGCAGGCGGGCGGAGGCGGCGCGGCGGGUC